GAAAAGUCAACCAGUCAACCAGAAAAAGUCAACAAACGCAACAGAAAGUUACCAUUGGUUGCCCAGGCGACGGCCCCGACGCCCGGGUGACGGAACUCGAAGCUUGGGCGUCCAAAUGAGCGCCUCGGCCUUACAUGAGGUCCAAUUCUCGCCCGGGCAACCUCCUUGGACGCCUGGGCAACAAUUUUAGUGGACCAGGCCCUGUUUCUACUCUAUUUUUUAUUCUUUUGGACCGCACCGUACUCUGGGACACUUCUGGCACUAUUUAAAGGACCCUGGGGCUCUAGGUUUUGC
rnacentral:lncRNA from 1 species